GAAUGCCUUUCCCUCUGGUUCUCCGAGUGGGCACUCCCAGUCAUCCUUCGAUAUCCAAGAAGAAGGACAUCAUACAUCCUCCCUGAGGGGGUCUUCUAGGGUAUCCACAGGAGAGUUCCCUGCCGCCUCUGGGUGCUCCCACAGGGUGUUGAUUAUUCAUUCAAGGGUCUCCGUCUCCCCACUAGGUGGAGCUCUCAGAGGCCAGGGCCCUGCCUGAACCAUCCCUAGAUCCUGCUGCAGGGCCUAGCUUGAAGCCUGGGAACAGACCCAGCACCAGGAUUAAAAGGCAUCAGGUCCCAGGAUGGACACACCUCUCCCCGCUCUUUCCGCAACAGAGACAGGAAGGUGGUAUUGGCAAACUUCUCCCAAAGACGUGGUGGCUCACCCAGGAGAGCAGCCCCGGGCAGGCGGGGUCCCAGGCCUGGAGAGGUCUGUAGAGGUUGGCAGGACCAGGGAUUCCCAAACGCGUCAAGCAGCAGAAGCCUCAUAGAAGAUCAAAGUCCGCUUGGAAGUCUCGUGCGGAAGUGGCAUUGUACCACCAGACCGUGUGUGCGUUUAAAAACAGUGCUUCCCAAUUACCGCAGAAGAUGAACUACGAGGCAGGUUUAAAACUGUCAAAGCAGUUUAGAUUUCUAAGCCACAAGUGAUAAAAUAUUUAAAUGUGUUUGGUAAGUUCGAACAUAGAACAUUUACUUGUUGUAAAGGCACCGUGAUGACAGCCCUGAGGCGGCUUUUAUGAACACAAACACAAAAAGCAAAGUUGUAAUCAUUUAAGUCUCAGCAUCCAAUUUAUUUCUGUGUUACCUUUGCUUGCUCAGGUUUGAGAAGAAUCUGGGUUUGCAAGGAUAAGUGGCUUAAAGAGCUCACCUGGAAAUCUCAGGGUACUCUUAGAUUCAAGAAUUUGAUUCAUUCAUCCACCCAACAAAUAGUUAUUGAGUGUCUAGUAGGUGUCAGGCAUUCUGCUGAGGUUUGAACAAUAAGGAGGACUAUUUGUUUCAGUCUAAGUUACUAAGAUAACAAUUAUUCCCUUCGUCAUUGUGAGUGUAAGUCAAAUGAAAAGAUUCAAGCUUAUAAUAAGCACCACUUCUCUCUGUAGUAUCCUAUUAUGAUAUUGCAACAGGCGUGUGCAACUGCUUAACAGAGAGGCUCAUGCCCUGGGCAGUUGGGCCUGGGUCUUGCCUGGGAAGAGCAAGGGUGACCAGCAUGUGUGUCUAAUCAUAUAUGUGACUGUCCAGUUUAGAAGAAAUACAAUCAUCCUCAUUAAUGACAUAUUUCAAGAAGUUCAAAUAUAUAGAGACAGAGUCAAAGGCAUGAGGCCACCCAUUUGUUCAUCUGACAUUUCUCAAGUUCUUACUAUGUGACAGUUGCUGUGAUGUUUUCUGGAAAUGCCAUGGUGGACAACACGUCCCUGCCUUCAUGGGGCCACAUCAAUCAAUGAACGAACUAAUAAAGAAGAUCAUUAAAGAGUGGCUGUGCCAAGGAGGAAAUGAGCAGGGUGAUGCGACCCAGCUACCUUCGAGAGGAUGGCAGAGACGUCCCGAGGAGACAACACUUGAGCCGAGACCUGAUCCGUGAAAAGCAGCCAAUGGCGGGGAGAGCCCGGCAGACAUCCUAUAAACAGCAAGUACCAGGCUCCAGGGCAGGACGGUCCUCAGUGCAUUGGAAGUCGGGAGAGGAGGUCAGGCUAGAAUGGAGUGACCAAAGGGGACAGUGCUUCCAGACUGAAUUGCAGAGGUGGGCUGAGGCUAGCUCAUGCAGGGCCUUCCAGGCCAGGGCAGGAAGAUGAGAUUUUAUUCUAAACGCAGUGAGCAGCUCUUAGGAUGUCUGAAGCAGCAGAGGGUAUAAUCCCGUUUAUAUCUUAAAGGGAUUACUCAGGCUGCUGUGGAGUGAAUGGUCAACUGGGGCAAGAGUGGAUGUGAGGGAGCAGCCGGGAGGUCACUGUGGUUUCAGGCCAGCAGUGUGGCAGCUGAGUCCAGGAUGGUGACUCUGGGGGUGCAGAGACCUGAGAGAUGUCUGAGAGGUUGAGUGGACUGGUCUUCCUCAUGCCCAGACGUCCCCUCUGGAACUUGAGCCUCACAAAUCCUCUGCCUCAUUGACCUCUCCACCUGGAUGUUGAGUAUGCAUCUCGAAUUUUGCCCCAACCUGGGCUCUCGUUCUGCCCCCAGCAAACCUGCUCUUCUGCAACUCCAUUCUCCCAGGAGUCGUCCUUACUCCUCUCUUGUCUCCCUGCCCACAUCCAAUCAUGAAUAAGUCUCACUGGCUCCAUCUUCAAGAUACAUCUGGAACUGAACCACUUGUCAUCAUCUCCACUGCCGCCAUUCAGAUCUAAGCCACCAGCGCCACCCACUUGGAUUAUGGCUGUGGCCUCCUAGUUGGUCUCCCUGCUUGCUCUCCAGUAACCAGCAUGCUCCUGUUAAAAUACAAGUUAGAGAGUGACAUUCCUCGCUUCCGCUCAAGCCCUCCAGGGGCUUUCCAUCUCAGCAUAGAAUUCC
rnacentral:lncRNA from 1 species